UACGUAGGGACCAAGCGUUGUUCGGAUUUACUGGGCGUAAAGGGCGCGUAGGCGGCGAAUCAAGUCAGCUGUGAAAUCUCCGAGCUUAACUCGGAACGGUCAGCUGAUACUGUUUUGCUAGAGUGCAGAAAGGGCAACCGGAAUUCUUGGUGUAGCGGUGAAAUGCGUAGAUAUCAAGAGGAACACCUGAGGCGAAGGCGGGUUGCUAGGCUGACACUGACGCUGAAGCGCGAAAGCUAGGGUAGCAAACGGGG
rnacentral:rRNA from 1 species